ensembl:lncRNA
CCGAGUGUGUGCAUAUGGCCUCCUUGGCUCCAUUGGACUCGGAUGACACAUUAACCACCGAUGCCAUGCCAGCAGGUCUUUGGGAUCGGUGUGAAGCGGCGUAUGACGGAAACGCACUGUAGGAGACGGUAAAGAACGUGAGAUUGAUGCCAUGGUGGAAAGAUCGAACCGAAGGAACCCAUCAUAUUAAAGAGGACGCAGGAAUCUGCACAGACGGCAUGUCGAACAUUUGGGAACACACACAAAAUAAUAAAGAAAGAUUUUUAGAAAAAAAAUGUAUUUAACAUGUAGAGCUGACUGAAAUGGCCUUUGAAAAUAUGAAUGGUGAACUGGUAAAGGCAUUGUUCUAUUGUGAGGUGAAGCACGGUACUUUAAUUACCUAAAGUAAUUUAGCCACGGAGCAUUUUUGCAACAAGUUAAAAAAAAACACAAUCAGUGCUAAGGUGUAACUUUGAUGUCAGUGAUUUAGAGAAGAACCUCCAGCCAUUACACAGAUAUGUAAACUAAGACUGGAGGUGGAGUGGGCUGCUAUUAAGGAGAGAAAGUGGAAAAGCACUGCUGUCAGGCUGAGAGAUGUCAC